rnacentral:pre_miRNA from 1 species
AUCACUGGGGGAUCUUGUUAAAAUGUAGAGUCUGAUUCAGUGGCUCUGGGGUGGGGCCUGAGAUUUUGCAUUUUUAACAAGCUCCCAAGUGAUACCUA